rnacentral:rRNA from 1 species
GCCUUGGCGGGCGUGCUUACACAUGCAAGUCGAACGAUGAAGCCCUUCGGGGUGGAUUAGUGGCGAACGGGUGAGUAACACGUGGGCAAUCUGCCCUGCACUCUGGGACAAGCCCUGGAAACGGGGUCUAAUACCGGAUAUGACCAUCUUGGGCAUCCUUGAUGGUGUAAAGCUCCGGCGGUGCAGGAUGAGCCCGCGGCCUAUCAGCUUGUUGGUGAGGUAACGGCUCACCAAGGCGACGACGGGUAGCCGGCCUGAGAGGGCGACCGGCCACACUGGGACUGAGACACGGCCCAGACUCCUACGGGAGGCAGCAGUGGGGAAUAUUGCACAAUGGGCGAAAGCCUGAUGCAGCGACGCCGCGUGAGGGAUGACGGCCUUCGGGUUGUAAACCUCUUUCAGCAGGGAAGAAGCGAAAGUGACGGUACCUGCAGAAGAAGCGCCGGCUAACUACGUGCCAGCAGCCGCGGUAAUACGUAGGGCGCGAGCGUUGUCCGGAAUUAUUGGGCGUAAAGAGCUCGUAGGCGGCUUGUCACGUCGGUUGUGAAAGCCCGGGGCUUAACCCCGGGUCUGCAGUCGAUACGGGCAGGCUAGAGUUCGGUAGGGGAGAUCGGAAUUCCUGGUGUAGCGGUGAAAUGCGCAGAUAUCAGGAGGAACACCGGUGGCAAAGGCGGAUCUCUGGGCCGAUACUGACGCUGAGGAGCGAAAGCGUGGGGAGCGAACAGGAUUAGAUACCCUGGUAGUCCACGCCGUAAACGGUGGGCACUAGGUGUGGGCAACAUUCCACGUUGUCCGUGCCGCAGCUAACGCAUUAAGUGCCCCGCCUGGGGAAUACGGCCGCAAGGCUAAAACUCAAAGGAAUUGACGGGGGCCCGCCCAAGCGGGGGAACCUUGGGGUUAAUUUCACCCACCCC